rnacentral:rRNA from 1 species
AUUGAACGCUGGCGGAAUGCUUUACACAUGCAAGUCGAGCGGCAGCGCGGGGCAACCUGGCGGCGAGCGGCGAACGGGUGAGUAAUACAUCGGAACGUGCCCAGACGUGGGGGAUAACUACUCGAAAGAGUGGCUAAUACCGCAUACGAUCUAAGGAUGAAAGCGGGGGAUCGCAAGACCUCGCGCGUUUGGAGCGGCCGAUGGCAGAUUAGGUAGUUGGUGGGGUAAAGGCUUACCAAGCCCGCGAUCUGUAGCUGGUCUGAGAGGAUGAUCAGCCACACUGGGACUGAGACACGGCCCAGACUCCUACGGGAGGCAGCAGUGGGGAAUUUUGGACAAUGGGGCGAAAGCCUGAUCCAGCCAUUCCGCGUGCAGGAUGAAGGCCCUCGGGUUGUAAACUGCUUUUGUACAGAACGAAAAGACUCUUUCUAAUACAGAGAGUCCAUGACGGUACUGUAAGAAUAAGCACCGGCUAACUAACGUGCCAGCAGCCGCGG